AACAAGGAUUCCCCUAGUAACUGCGAGUGAAGCGGGAAGAGCUCAAAUUUAAAAUCUGGCGGUCUCAGGCCGUCCGAGUUGUAGUCUGGAGAAGUGCUUUCCGCGCUGGACCGUGUACAAGUCUCUUGGAACAGAGCGUCAUAGAGGGUGAGAAUCCCGUCUUUGACACGGACUACCAGUGCUUUGUGAUGCGCUCUCGAAGAGUCGAGUUGUUUGGGAAUGCAGCUCAAAAUGGGUGGUAAAUUCCAUCUAAAGCUAAAUAUUGGCGAGAGACCGAUAGCGAACAAGUACCGUGAGGGAAAGAUGAAAAGCACUUUGGAAAGAGAGUUAAACAGUACGUGAAAUUGCUGAAAGGGAAACGCUUGAAGUCAGUCGCGUCGUCCGGAACUCAGCCUCGCCUUCGCUUGGUGCAUUUUCCGGUCGACGGGCCAGCAUCGAUUUCGACUGUCGGAUAAAGGCUGGGGGAAUGUGGCACCUUCGGGUGUGUUAUAGCCUCCAGUCACAUACGACGGUUGGGAUCGAGGAACUCAGCACGCCUUUAUGGUCGGGGUUCGCCCACGUACGUGCUUAGGAUGCUGGCGUAAUGGCUUUAAACGACCCGUCUUGAAACACGGACCAAGGAGUCUAACAUGCCCGCGAGUGUUUGGGUGGUAAACCCGAGCGCGUAAUGAAAGUGAAAGUUGAGACUCCUGUCGUGGGAGGCAUCGACGCCCGGACCAGACCUUCUGUGACGGCUCCGCGGUAGAGCGUGUAUGUUGGGACCCGAAAGAUGGUGAACUAUGCCUGAAUAGGGUGAAGCCAGAGGAAACUCUGGUGGAGGCUCGUAGCGAUUCUGACGUGCAAAUCGAUCGUCAAAUUUGGGUAUAGGGGCGAAAGACUAA
rnacentral:rRNA from 1 species